rnacentral:rRNA from 1 species
CGAGAUGAGUUCUCCCUGAGACUUUAAGUCUCCUGAAGGAACGUUGAAGACGACGACGUUGAUAGGCCGGGUGUGUAAGCGCAGCGAUGCGUUGAGCUAACCGGUACUAAUGAACCGUGAGGCUUAACCUUA